rnacentral:rRNA from 1 species
AGAUCGAAUGAGGAGAUUCAUCGUCAGCGUAUUCAGUAUUGAUGCAGGCUAUGAUGUGAUAAUAGAAUCCUCGUGGUCACUAGAUUAUACUUGCUUGUAUCAUUUAUGCUGGGUAUGUCGGCGUGCACUUCUCCUCUAGUAGAACGUCGCAACCCGUUGGAUGUUUAUCUAUGGCUUGAAUGGKAGCCUUUGAKAUAUWUUAUAUUGAARACMUUUGUUGUAAAKUCUGCUGUUAGCUUGGUAAUGUCUUYAACUGGCUUAUUUACCGGUUAGCGAUGCUACUGCUUUGGGUACUUACAGGACCCGUCUUGAAACACGGACCAAGGAGUCUAACAUGUGCGCGAGUCAUUGGGAUAUAUUUAUAUAACUCAAACCUAAAGGCGUAAUGAAAGUAUAGAUUGUCUUAAGACAAUUGAGGGAAGAUGGGUUGCGUUACGAUGUAAUCCCGCAUUCCCGGGACGUUCC